rnacentral:lncRNA from 1 species
CUAAUCCCUUUAUGUUCCUGGGAAAAGGAUGCCUGAAAGCACUCUCUUUGUUCCUUAUCUCAUACUGUAAGUUUCUAGGACUCAAUCUUCCUAGAGACUAGAGGAAGCAAUGUCAGAUCUGCCAGAAUCUGGGACCCUCUGGAGACAGGGGCAGGUAAGCUGGAUCCAGUGAUUCCUGAGGCCUGAUCUACUCCCCUGCCUUUCCAAUUAACAUGAUCCAGUAAAGUCCCUUUUGUGCUUCAAUUCAAAAGAGUAGGAUUUUCCAUUACUAGUUACCAAAUGGGUCCUUGUACAAUACUGGAGCUUGUUAAGGCUUCACAGAUGCCUGGUUGUGGGCUCACCCCUCAGGCAAUGGCAACAGGACACAUGGUUGACUGGGAAGGCUGCAAGUGGUCUGAAGAGGCAGAGAAGUUAGGGAAGUGGAGUCAAGUUUUGCCGCACUCGUGACCUAAAUUGCAAUGGCAGUCUAUACCUCUGGAUGCUCCGUAUAGGCUGGUCCCAUAGACUUUAGAUCCAUGAAAAGCCUGUGUCACACUGUCAUACUGCAGGUUGAUUUCUCUUCCACUAGCCACCGCUCACCCUUGCCCUUCGAGAUAGCAGUCCUUAACACUUAGUUUUGAAGUGCAUUGGGUGCCUGAAAACAGCCUCGCAAAAUAAUAAAAUUCUACUCGAGUCCAAAUGGCUCAAACUAACAACACACAAAGCGAAGAGGCCCCUGUAGAGUGAGGAUUAUUAAAUAUGAAGUAUGUUUGUCAGGAAAAACCUUUGUUUGUAUAAACAGUAGACGCACCACCAUGGUAACCCUGCUUGGUUUGCAGCCCAUAGAGGCCUCCCGGCCAAAUUCCCACCUCCUUUUUCACUGCUAGCCUACAUUUUUUGAAAAACAUCUCCAGCCAAAAUUCCAUGAUCUGCCUGCUUGGUUUCCAGGCUCAGAAAAUAUCAUUUAAAAAGUGGUGGGGAACUGGAUGAAACCAUGGCCAAAGUUUCUAAAUGAAGGCUCAUUUCACACACACACACACACACACACACACACACACACACACACACAUAGACGCAUUUUGUUUGCCAACUACAGUGUGCUUUUCCUUUUUUAUGAAACCCAAGUUUCCUUGGGCCCCACAAGCCUGCAGGGCCGUAAAAUAGCAUUAACAUGUGGCCCACUGUGACCAUCUUCACGCUGGGCUUUUCUCCCACCUGCUCACAGAGCAUCCUAGGGGUACACUGAGAUGCACCCCUGAACAGAGCUAUCGAGAGAAGAGGCACAACGCAGCCUAGCCUGCGGUGGUGUCCCUGUCACCUCUGCAUUCUCCCCAGAAGUCAAGGCACUUGGUGGGAUGUAGUGAAGCUGUGGAGGAGUCCUCACUUCCCUCGGUGUUCUGCUCAAGGAAUAAGCACCAAACCAAGCUGUUGGGCCCAUUAACUGGCUUGUUGACAAGUUUAGCAUUAGAGGCCCUUGCCAUCCGAAUGGGUUGGCAUCCAAUCAGGGUUCUUGGCUUUCCUUAGAAAUUGCUAAGAGGCCAGACAAGAAACUCAGGCAAGGCUUUAUUCAGGGCCCUGCUGCAACGAGGUGGUGGGGGACAGAGGGAAAACAAGUGACGUCCCUUGCUCAUCCCUGGAGGCAGGGGCAAGCUGGUUCCUUACAUGGGGUACAGGUGGGCCCAGGGGUCAGGCUAGAGGGGUAGCUUAGGUGGUUUGCCCACCUCUUUGACCAGGGUGUGUGGGGGGGACACGCAUAGUCCCCUGCUUUUUCUCCCAGCUCUUCAGAAGUGGCAAUUGGGACUGAUACAGGUUAUUGGAAAAGGCCAAUGGGAGAAAACCACCUCUUUCUGGAGCCCACAUUGGUAGCCACCCACCCUCCUAUUUUUAAGGGCUAAAAACCCCUAUAAGACAAUAGAGAGGGAGUUCCCGUCGUGGCUCAGUGGUUAACAAAUCCAACUAGGAACCAUGAGGUUGCGGGUUGGAUCCCUGGCCUUGCUCAGUGAGUUAAGGAUCUGGCGUUGCUGUGAGCUGUGGUGUAGGCCGGUGGCUACAGCUCUGAUUCAACCCCUAGCC